rnacentral:misc_RNA from 1 species
GAUGAAGAACGUAGCGAAAUGCGAUAAGUAAUGUGAAUUGCAGAAUUCAGUGAAUCAUCGAAUCUUUGAACGCACCUUGCACCCUUUGGCAUUCCGAAGGGUAUGCUCGUUUGAGUGUCAUUGUACUCUCACUCUCCCGAUGCUUUUGGAUCGGGAGUGGUGGACUUGGGUGUUGCUGCUUUGCUGUGGCUCGCCUCAAAUGGAGUAGUGCAACUCUUGGUUGGACAUAGUACGGCGUGAUAAGUGUCUUCGCCGGCGCCUCAUUAUAGAGGGUGGCCGAUCGGGAGCUCUGUGCUUCAAACCGUCUUCGGACAACAUCUGACAACUUGACCUCAAAUCGAGUAGGACUACCCGCUGAACUUAAGCAUAUCAAUAAGCGGAGG